GGACCAUUAGCUCAGUUGGCAGAGCACUUGACUUUUAAUCAAGUUGUCCCGGGUUCGACUCCCGGAUGGUUCACCA
rnacentral:tRNA from 1 species